UCCGAGUUGUCCCCGGCAGUCCCCUUAGAGUCCCCGGCAUUACCCGCUGGCAACUAAGGGCAGGGGUUGCGCUCGUUGUGGCACUUAAGCCAACACCUCACGACACGAGCUGACGACGGCCAUGCAGCACCUGUGCAUGAGCUCCGAAGAGGGGCCCGGCUUUCACCGGGCUUUCCCAUGCAUGUCAAACCCAGGUAAGGUUCUUCGCGUUGCAUCGAAUUAAGCAACACGCUCCGCUGCUUGUGCGGGCCCCCGUCAAUUCCUUUGAGUUUUAGCGUUGCCGCCGUACUCCCCAGGCGGGGCACUUAAUGCGUUAGCGACGGCGCGGAUCCCGUUGGUUGGAACCCACACCUAGUGCCCAACGUUUACGGCGUGGACUAC
rnacentral:misc_RNA from 1 species